CUUCAUCUGUGAGACUUUUUUCCCCUCUAUUCUACUCAAGCUCCUGUAUGACGUCACAGAACGCGUUGAUGGAGUAUGGGAUGAAGGAGAUGAGUGUCUCCAUGGUUUAUGUUCUGGGAAUGAACAUUGAAGAGAGGCAUAGUACCUAGAGGUAGAGGGAUUGUGCCAAGAGAGAAUGAGAGUGAGAGAGAGUGCUGAAUUUCAAGUGUUAUUUCAUCAAAUGAGCCAAAAGUCCCUUACAAUUGAUAACUACCUCCUAUUUAUAGAGCUUGGGUACUACCUAUUGGGCCAACUGGGCCUCCGAGAUCAAGGCCCAACACAUGAGGAAGGAGGAACAGAAGAACUGGGUUGAGUUAUGUUAGACUUUGAUGGAGAUUAGACAAUGGAGGAAGGAGAAAGCAAGGAGAAGGACAAGAGAUGAUGAUGGAAAGUACAAAAUUUUCAGAAUCCGAUUCAGAGGGAGAAGAGAAGAUGGUGGUUGUCAAUGGUUAGGUGAGGCAGCUCAGAUGACAGGAUAGAUCAUCCCGAUUUUUGAAGGAAGAGUGAAGAAGAGGGAAAGAAGGACUGCUGUUAGAUGAGGAUCAGUAGCAACAGAGAAGAUGAUGCACUAUUUUGUCAUCGUUGUAUCACAUCAGGUAUGAGAAAGGAGGUUCAGCUCAGAGAAGCAGCAAAGCAGAAUGUGGAUACUGAGGUACUGGAGAACUGGAAAGGCUGAAGCAACAGAGAAGAAUUUGAAGAGUAAAUCUUCCAAUUCAUCCACUGAGCAAGACUUCGAUUCAUUUCUUCUUGGAGAUCUUGAAGACAAUGAUGGAGGUCCAGGUUUCUUUGCACCUCUUAUCUGUGUUGUUGGACUUGAUUUUGCUACUCACUUGGGAAGAUGAUGGAUUGAGAUGGAGUGUUGUCAGGUGUGGAUCAGAAGAAACAGAGAAGAUGAUGGACUCUUUCGUCAUUGAUUUCUGCCUUGUCCUCGUCAGAUCACAUCAGAUUGCUAUGUUUAUUUGAGCUUAGAGGCCGCAGAUAAGAUAAGAGGUUGCAACAGGUAAUAUUAUCCAAUUAAUGUUUGUUAGCUUUCAAUUUGCCCCACCAUGUAUCACUUGAUUGGUAUCACUUCCUGAUAUGUUGAACAUAGGUGCUACUGUUGCUGUCGAAUAAUCAAGAUGGGAGGUACUUGAGUAAUAUAGGCAGGAAGAAGGUGGAUCCAUAUGAGAUUAGUGACUUGUGGAGUUGGGCCUAUAGUGGAUAAUCUAUACGCACAAGGGUAACAUUUCCCUUGGAUCUUGUGAGGCGGCGGAAGCAGCUUGAAGGGGCUGGUGGGCGAGCCCGAGUGUGUAAUGCAGGCAUGACAAAUUUCUUGGAGAUAAACCAAAGGGUGGAGAGAUUGGCUGAAUCAAGUGACUGCAGUGAGUACUGAAUGCAGUGAAUCCAGAUCCCAGAUGGAUGAGAUAAACUUUCUUUUAUCAAGUAAGCCCCUAAUUACGUGGCUUUUUAUUAGUUCGUAAUUUCAUAUGCUAACUUAAUACAUUAUUUGCAGGACAUAUGUUUGUAAGCACCAUUGUCCAAGCUCUUUAUUUUUCAUAUGUUAAAAUCUGAAUCAUGUAUUAGACUAUUCCUUUUCUCAUCAACCGUGUGUGUAUUUUUACUGUGGAUGAGCCCUAUGUUUCAUCAGGUGCUGAUUCUUUAUCACACAUGAGGUUUUAGAUGAUGAAAUCUGCACAAUAAGAUAUGUUUAAACGGGUGAAUCAGUCAAAAUCUUGAUUAACCCUUUCUGCUCAUCUACAUUGUUUAAAUUUUCAUUGUUAAUGGCUUUUUAUUAUCUUUCUAAAAUAGCAUUCAACCAUUCACCAUUGCAGAAGAUGCACAUGCCUUGCUCCUUUAUGCCAUUAAGUAUCUAUUUUUACUUAUAUUAAGUGUUUAUUUAUGGUUUCGCAUUUAAAUGGGGUUGCCCAAAGUAUGUUUUAUGGUUUUCAUUAUUUGCUUAAGGUUGAGAAUGUAAAUGGGAAACAAAGUAAGAUACUAGAUUUCAAAAGGGUUGUUGGGAAGAGUCACCAAGUGGGUUCAGACAGUUUGCUUAUUCUGCAUGCUUUUGAAAAUAUCAUGAAAGUUUACUUUGGUAACAAAGUUGGACUGGUCAACAGGUCAAGUAUACUGGUGUCUUGCAUGGCUUAGAGGUUCAAAAAUAUCUCAUGGGAUUCUCUGUAGAUUUCUUUAUUGCCUUUCCUUUUUACUCUCAAUAUAAAUGAGAAUCGUACAUAUAUGGUCAUCAAUGAAAUUCAUUUAUCAAUUCUUUGAAAUAUCUUCCCUUGCACCUUUUAUCCUCCUUACUUCAUUUUAAAUAAUUGCGUAAAUUACAAACUAUUACCAUUGGUAUGUGAAUUAAUUUGUUCAUUUUAUAAAAUUAUAAAAUAAAAAAUCAUAAAAUAUAGAAUCGCUCGUUCGUGCAUUGCACGGAAACGGGCUAUUAUCCUAGUUACUCAUAAAGUUGAGUCGGAUGUUUUUCGUUGAAUUUUUUGGUCUAAGACAGGUAUUCUCCUCUGUAGGCGAUCUUUUUUCGAACCGAGAACAACCACAUUAUAGUGGAGCUAACUGUCCUAGUGAGAGUUUUUUCCAUUCAUAAAACUCAAACCUAAGACUUGCUUAAGGAGAAUCAAACAUGUAUCACUUGAACCAAUCAUCCGUUGGUUUUCGUUGCAUUAAGUUAGAAAAACUAAUUUCGUAAGAAUGCAUUUUAUUAAAUGUGUUUUGGGAAUCUAGUUUAAUCUAAUUCGAUCUAUACCAUCCCGUUUGAUAUGUGGUAUUAUAUUAGAUUUGAUAGUAUUAGACCUAAUGACAUUAUGUCUUAUAGGAUAAGGUUAGAUAAAAAUUUGAAACUAUAAGACGUAUGAUUAUUAUACUUUGUAUAACUUAUCAUAUUGUUUAAAUUGAUACAAUUAUAUGUUUGGUACGGAGAGUGGUGGUGGAGGCGAUAGUGGUGAGGGUGGUAGAGAUGGCGGUGGUGGUGGUGGAAGAGGGUAGUAGCUGUAACGGUAAUGGUGGUGGCGAUAGUGACAGUGGUUGUGGUUGGUGAUGGCGGUAGAGUGAUGGUGGUUUAGUGGCGAUUGUGAGAAGUGGUGGAGUUGGUUGCGGCGGUGGCAAUGGUGGUGGUGACAGUUUUGUAGGACAGUGGCGGCAGCAAUGGUGGUGACGACAACGACGAGUGGUAGUGACGACAACGACGAUGGUGGCGGCAGUGACAAUUGUGGUGGUGGUAGAAUGAGGGUGGUUAUAGUGGUGAUGGUGGUGGCGGGAGGUGAUUGUGAGAGGUGGUGGGGUUUGUUGUGGCGGUGGUGGCAGUGACAAUAGUGGUGAUGACAGUUUUGUAGGGAGUUGGCAGUCGUGAUGGCGCUUGUGGUGGUGACGACAAUGGUGGUUGCAGGGGCGGUGGAAAAUGGUGGUGGUUGUGACAGUUGUGGUGGUGGCAAUAGUGGUAGCAGUGACGAUGGUAAUGACGGCAACAACAAUGGUUUAAUAGAGCAACAUCAUUUCAUAGGCAAGAAAAAACUUGACUGCCAUUUCAAAAUGCAUCUCAAUCUCAAAAAAAAUGCAUUUUCAAUGUCAACAGCUCAUUUACCAAAUGUCAGCUAUGAAGAACUUCAAAGGUGACUUGUACAAUUUUUCAUUCACAAGAGAAGCAAAUCCCUUCAGUUGAAUGCAGAUAGUGACAUGGUAAUUGGUAACGGAACUUUAUCCAAUACUUACAAAAUUGUGCCACUUGAAAUUUGUUGCCUGUGGGACAGGAGAAAGAGUAAAGCUAAUUGUACAACAGAUUGUAUGCAGGCAGGUCUUGUAUUUUGUUGAUGUCUUCUAAGGAUAGCUCUCUCUCCAAUUGCAUCCGUGUUGUUUGUAGAACCUCCUGAAGCCAUUAAGCAGUUUGAAGGGUUAAUAUAUUGCAGUGCAAAGCAAAAGGUGAAAAGACCAAACAAGAUAGGUAGUAUGUGUUUUAGAAUUCAGACUAAUGCAGUUUCUGAAAAAGGAAGAAGACAGUUGUAAAGGAGCUUGGAAUCAGGAUAACAAAUUAAGUAAAGAAUCAUUACUUUCCCUUUUUUGUGAACCAUGUUACAAUUUUGGUUGAUCAAGCUUAAGGGAAAACUUUACCAUACAUCUAUAAGACCUGUAAUGUUAUGAGACUGAA